UAAAAAAUGAAUUUCUCGUCUCUCUUCUUCCUUUCAGUCUACUUUACCCCUUUCUUUUUGCACUAUAUUUUAUUUAAGUGAGUUGAAUGUGUAAUAAUAGCCAUAAUAUUUCACUAAUUUUUUUUUGAUCUAUUAGUACUUUAUAACGUUUUCUUGAAGAAGUGGUUAUAAGAGAUUUCUCCCCACAGCAGAUCUUGACGUCAAUGCCAGUUGUUGGGAUUUUUGAAUGGCAACAGCAGUGUACAUGGUGAUGCUGAUGUUGAUGCUGUUAUAUAUACGAAAAGGGAUAUCAAAUAAUACCUAAAAUCUGGCUGUUGUCAACCGCAUUCAAAUGCUGAAUCACAGAAUCAUCUCUCUCUCACAGUGAUGGGCACUGUCCACGUUGGGCUUCUGAAAUGGAAAUAUAUCAAUUAUCAAGCCUUGGGGGAGAGAAAGAAGCCCUUCUUUCUUCAAAAUUUGGUUUUUGGCUCAAUUGGCUGUUUGUAGCCAUUGUUGAGAAGGAUCAAUUAUCAUCAAUGAUCUUUUAUGUGAAUACGAUGCAGGAGAGAUGCAGCCAAGGAUGACUUGCCGGCGAACUGACAUUUUCCUAAACCCAUGCUCUUAACACUGUGAACGCAUGGCUUCUAUGAUUUUUCAAAAUUCUGUUUUUUGAUUCUACAAUUCCUUUAGUUUUUUUAAUGGGGUGUAUAAUCGGCAAGUUCUUCUUGGCUACAUUUCUCUCUCGUGUUUAUAUGUAAGAUCUUCGGUGACACACAUCAAUGGUGGUUAUGUUGACAGGAGAUCAAGAUCCAACCAAUAUUGGAAAUUAUACUAGGAAGUCGAGGCCAAUGCUGUCUGCACAAACACAAUGUAAGUUUCAUAAUCCCUUGUAUUUGAGCUUGCAAAAUAAUUUCCUGAUGAAAGAAUUUCGAUACACUGGCAAGCAACAAGCUACAGCAGCCACUUGUAUAUAUAUAUAUAUAUACGUAUAAGUAUAUGUCUAAAAUCUUGGUUUAAUCAUUCAAGCCAACAGCUCCACGAGUUUGUCUAUUGAUUCCAACGUCUUCUCGUAAAACACGUAAGAUUCGUAAACCUUGGGAGUCCGAAUGUAGUGAUCAAACUGUUCCAAGGAUUCAAUAAUAAGUUUAAUAGAAUUCAAACACACACACAAGCAUGUAUGUAUUGGAUCUGACAAGGUCUAGGUAUAUGUACGUACCUCAGCCAUGUUGUCCACUAGCUCAUUUGCAGUCCGGACAUAGGACUUUCUGCGGCUUUCCGGCACCAUCUCCAAGGCAGUUUUCAUGUCCUGAGAAAGGUAGGAUUGCUUUACUCGUAUGUAGAAUAUGAUAUACCUCCAUGACAUGGUCUCCAGCAUAUUCCUGAGGGAAUGAAGUCCUUCAGCUGUCUGUCGAAUUCUUGCCACUGCAUCCUCAGGCGACAGCCCAGGCUGGAAGAACUUUUCCAAUAUAAAGGAUCGUGUGCCCCAAUUCUGAGCUAGUGCUGGGGGAGUGGCUUGAUGCAGGCUUGAUAAAGCCACUGAAGUGCUCAGGAAUGUGGUCAGGAAUUUUCUUCUUGGGAUUGGAUUUUCUUGAUCAUUUGACGAUGUUGUUGCUUGGAUCCUUGGCAGGAGAUGGUGGUGCUGGUUUGCAGCGGCGAUGCGGCUGUGGAAUGCGGUGGCUGUGGAGUUUGGAAUGGCGGCCAUGGCUGGUGGAGCUUGUUGAAAACAAAAUUGGGAUUGGGGCAAAGAAUUGUGGGAUGAUAUGUGGUGGUGAUGUUUCUGCUCCGACAUCAACAUGGACCUCUGGUUUUGGUGACAUGUAAUAUUAUUCAAUUAUCCUCUUCAUUUUUGUUGAAAGAAAUUCGACAGAGCAUAAAUAAAUGGGCCUGAAUAAAAGCGGGAUUUUGAGCUUGCUCAUUAAACGGCGCCGUAGCAGAAUCAAAUCCCUAAAUUUUCUCACUGCCGAGGAGGCUAAAAUCUUGACUAAUUCGUAGUUCCGGGUGUCAUUUGCGAAAAAAGCUUUUGCAUCAAACAGGCAAAAUCAGGGCUCUGAAUCUGUUUUGGAAUUUGAGUACGUCUUUGUGUUCUUAAAGUUUCUUGUUUGGGACUGACUGCUCAGUUGAAAUAUAAAUGUAUUUACCUCGUGAUUUUUCAGUCGAGUUAAUCGCUAUAUGCAGUUAGGGUUCUCAUGGUAGCUUUGACAGUCCAUUAGGUUGAGGAUCAAGAAUUUGUGUAUCUUGGUAUUAUCUCUCUUAUAUUGGCAGCACGCAAUUGCGGAUUUGCAGAGUCCUGCUUCGGUCUUACAGUUAAAUAGGAGCUCAUUUGAAGAAUUUGCAUUUGAUGAGAUGAAUUUUGGAAGAUUUCACUGACCCACUUAUGGUAGCUGUGCCCACACACUAGUCAUUUUCUACGAUUUGCAGAUAGGGUUGAGGUACAUUUCAACAAAAAGAAAGUACAGCUAUUCAAAACCAUAUCUCCAACUAAGCCUUGUUAACAUCCCACAAAAGUCUGAUCAAUAAUUGUUGCCAAUUUGGUCAAAGUAGAGCUGCAAUGGCACUAUCUACUUUCGGAAGAAAAUGACAUAAAUUGUGAUAUUUCAAAGGACACAGAGAAAGGGAAGAAGCAAUGAAAACCAAUAGAUGGAUUGAAACUAUUGUACAUCUGUAACUCUGCAAUGCAUUAGUUGGGAUUGCAAUGUUUUACAGAACUUGAUCACUAUUUGGCUAAACCAAUCAAACUAUUUGAUAUACAUAUUCGAUGGCCAGAUUAUCUGAAUUGUUGAUGAAAGCCAUUGAAAGUAGUAAGUUAAGAAUUGCAACUGACUAAUGUUUAAAGAUCUAUUCUUUUCGAUUUUUAAUUAGAUGAUUCUGAGGGAGUAAAAAUGGGACCUUUCUGGUUUCUACUACAACACACUCAAGAUAGAUUGUAAGUGUUCAUAAGUGAAAAGAUUGUUAGAACUGCAGAUUCAUAUUCUUGUUACCGCCUGAGAAGAUGUAUUUUAUUGACAUGAAGGUGCCAUCGAAGUUAUAAACGAAUCAUAUAAUAAUAACACAAUUAUGGAAGCCCUUUGUGAAUACAUAUACAUAUGAAAAUGCUGGCUGAUGUUCCAAUUUAUCUUUAAAUAAAGAAUGAUAGAAAAAUAUUUCCUUAAUUGAUCGACAUAAGCCUAGAUUCAACCUAAGCUGUUACGACAUAUGUCAAUCCGAAUUCAGCCUGAUCCUAAAAGGGAAUUUUGUAGAUAGUGUCGAUGUCACUUACAGGACAAAGCAUGCUAUGAUAAAGUUCUUAUCCUUUCAGUCAACCACAUCUCUAGUUCAAUUAUUAUAUUUUGUGUCAUGCUGCUACUUGCAAGCUAUUGAAUAUUUUUUUCGAUGAAUCUUUGGUUCUAACAUAUAUUUUAGGACUUGAUUAGGUACUUAUGUAUUGCCAGUCAAAGAAUAUUUAGUUGGAACGAUAGGAAUCUUUUAUAUCAUUUCAAAAACAAAUAGCAGAGAUAUUCUACAAGUAGAUUAAGGUUCAUCUGUGACCUAAUCACACACUUUUAGAUCAGAAAAUUCUGCAGCCUAAUAUUUAAAUCAGAACAUGGACUUUCCUACAAGCAUUUCUGAUAAGGAUUGCAAGAUUUUUCCGAGUCGACAAUGACAGCUUUUGCCAAUCUUUUGUACACUUGCUGCCUUUGUUCUUCAUCCCCAACUUGCUCUUUUCUUCCAGCAAUUCAUUCAUUCAUACAUGGGGUUCAUGAAUAUUGCCUGGCUCACUUGAAACUUUGUGUCAUCUGUGUACGGUAUCUGCUCUUGCCCUGGAUGAUUAUACUUCCCGGUUGAUGAUGUGUUGUUGUUUGUUGUUUCUUGAUUGUUGAACGACAUAUUGCAGGCGUUUCCUUGCAUAAUUUGGGACAUUGUGGCCAUGUAGUCCAACUCCCACAGAUUCGUCAGCGAACAAGUUUUUGGGAACAUG